rnacentral:lncRNA from 1 species
CUCUGGUCACGGAACCAAACUCCACAGAAUCUUCAAGAACUUCAUUUUCUAAAUAAAAAACCAGGCAGAAAGGGGGGCGUGGCCUAAUUUAAAGUAUAACACUCAACUCCAGUUUUAUCAACAGGAACUACAGGAAAAACGUUGUCAUUGACUGUAUUUGAGAACUGGACUGAGUGACUCCGCCCACCCGGUGUUUAUAAAUAAAGUUUGAUUCAAGAACAGAAGUCAAUGUUGAUCUCCUGUUCUUCCUGCCUCAGGUUCCCGCCCUGACAGCCCAUUGGACGACAGCCUACGUGACAUCACAGACGUGGCCCCGAGCCGCAAGCGCCGCUUCCGGCACCACGGGCCGGAUCCGGCGGGAAAACGGCCGGACGCGGAGGCGCGGCAGAAGGAGAGGACAGGCCCCCCUGCUGGAUCCAGUAAGCUGCAGACCCCCCAGCGCUCUGCAGACGCUGAAGAUCUGUUCGAGGACUUCUGAGAUCUUUUUGAGCCUGAAGGUCGGAUUCUUCUGAGGAAAAGACGCUCUGAUCACAGACCUGCAGAGCGACCUGCAGAGCGACCUGCAGAGGGACCUGCAGAGGGACCUGCAGAGCGACCUGCAGAGCGACCUGCAGAGGGACCUGCAGAGGGACCUGCAGAGAGACCUGCAGAGCGACCUGCAGAGGGACCUGCAGAGCGACCUGCAGAGCGACCUGCAGAGGGACCUGCAGAGCGACCUGCAGAGCGACCUGCAGAGCGACCUGUUGAGCGACCUGCAGAGUGACCUGCAGAGGGACCUGCAGAACGACUUGUAGAACGACUUUCGGAGCGACCUGCGGAACGACCUGUGGAGCUCACAGGAAGGCGCUGGAUCUUAGACACAAGUGUUUUUUUCACUCAGGUUCCUUCUUCUUCUCUGUUGUUUUUGGUCUUUGAAUCAAUAAAGUUUUGGUCUUUUGUCUAGACCAGAGGUCUUCAACCUGCAGCUCCAGAUCCACAUGAGGCUCUUUCAUCUCUCCAUAGUGGCUCUGGAGGA